GACAGAGGGUGCAAACGUUGUUCGGAAUUACUGGGCGUAAAGCGCGUGUAGGCUGCUCGGAAAGUCGGAUGUGAAAGCCCUGGGCUCAACCUAGGAAGUGCAUUCGAAACUUCCGAGCUGGAGUACUGGAGAGGAAGGCGGAAUUCUCGGUGUAGAGGUGAAAUUCGUAGAUAUCGAGAGGAACACCGGUGGCGAAGGCGGCCUUCUGGACAGUGACUGACGCUGAGACGCGAAAGCGUGGGGAGCAAACAGG
rnacentral:rRNA from 1 species